GUGGAACACUCUGCAAACUACUUAUGUGGCAGUUCAUAAACAUUAAGUUCUAUAUAAAAUUUCUUAAGAAGUCUAGACUUAAAAAUACUAGAGCUGUCAAUUGCUUUGAGAUCACUAUCUAACGAGUUCCACAUUGUCACAGCUCGAGGAAAAUACGAGUUUUUAAAAUAUUCAGUUCUACAUUUAAAUUCAGUGAAAUUAUUCACGUCAUGUGACCUAAUGUUAUAUCUAGGAGCAAGUCGACUUUGUACAUAAUCUGGUAAAUGUAUAUCCAAUAGACCUGUUCUACAUUUAUGAAAGAAUAACAAGUCUUUCAUACUUCUCCUGACAUCAAGUGGUAGAAGGUUAAGUUUUAUCAAACGUUCUUUAUAUCCAGUGUCAGGGUAAUUUAAAAUAAACUUU